rnacentral:rRNA from 1 species
GACGAACGCUGGCGGCGUGCUUAAUACAUGCAAGUCGAACGGACAGGCCCUGCUCUUGCGGGUUUCCCGUGUGGCGAACGGGUGAGUAACACGUGAGUAUCCUGCCCUUGACUUUGGGAUAACUUCAGGGAACUGGGGCGAUAAUCCGAUAGAAUCUCUUGAUCCAUGGGGGGGGUUGGAAAGAUUCGGCGGUGGGGUCUGGACCCGCGGCUUAUCGGCUUGUUGGUGGGGUAGUGGCUUACGAAGGUUUCGACGGGUAGCCGGCCUGGGAGGGUGACCGGCGUCAUUGGGACUGAGAUACGGCCCAGACUCCUACGGGACGCAACAGGGGGGAGUAUUGCACAGUAGGCCGAAGCCAGUUGCAGCAACGCCGCGUGCGUGAUGACGGCCUUCGAGGUAUAAACCACUUUCGCAUGUGACAAGGCGUGAGUGACGGUAAUGGGUAAAGAAGCACCGGCUAACUACGUG